AUUGAACGCUGGCGGCAGGCUUAACACAUGCAAGUCGAGCGGAGAUGAGGUGCUUGCACCUUAUCUUAGCGGCGGACGGGUGAGUAAUGCUUAGGAAUCUGCCUAUUAGUGGGGGACAACAUUCCGAAAGGAAUGCUAAUACCGCAUACGUCCUACGGGAGAAAGCAGGGGAUCUUCGGACCUUGCGCUAAUAGAUGAGCCUAAGUCGGAUUAGCUAGUUGGUGGGGUAAAGGCCUACCAAGGCGGCGAUCUGUAGCGGGUCUGAGAGGAUGAGCUGCCACACUGGGACGGAGUCACGGCCCAGACUCCUACGGGAGGCAGCCGUGGGGAAUAUUGGACAAUGGGGGGAACCCUGAUCCAGCCAUGCCGCGUGUGUGAAGAAGGCCUUAUGGUUGUAAAGCACUUUAAGCGAGGAGGAGGCUACUCUAGUUAAUACCUAGGGAUAGUGGACGUUACUCGCAGAAUAAGCACCGGCUAACUCUGUGCCAGCCGCCGCUGUAA
rnacentral:rRNA from 1 species